rnacentral:lncRNA from 12 species
AUCUGCCAAAGAAAAUCAUUUCAAUCAUUUCUACAUCUAUAUGUCCAUUUCUUUAUCACUAGCUGAGAGAUUGAUGUAUAAUAGUUCUUUCAUAUUAGGGUAGCCUUCUAAUAUUGUUAAUAACAUUAGGUUAACAGAUAUUACUAGCAAUAACAAAAAUACUAAGUACUAAUGUGUUAUUGCUAGUAAUAUCUGCCCAACAGAAUUUUACAAAUUAUGAUCUUAAGUCCAAAUUUUUUUUUUUUUUUUUUAGUCAUCACACGUUUAUCAUACUGUUUUAAUUCAAGUAUAUGCCCAACCUAGCCAUGGAAGUUGAAGAGAAAAGAUGGGAUCUAAAGACUCAAAGCCAAGUUGAGAGAAAUAUCAAAAACUAUGAUUCCUUCCAGUUUUAGUCUCAGAUUGACAAUUACUGAGACCAGUUUCCCCCCGUUUGAGAUAUACAAUGAAUAUUCCAGACAUUGUUGUCAGAGAAUUAGUCAAGUUGGAACGUCAUGAAAGAUCUAUUGAACCAUGCUCCAGUAAAGCCUUGAAACUUGGGAAAAUAU